rnacentral:rRNA from 1 species
AGUGAGCGCUGGCGGUAGGCCUAACACAUGCAAGUCGAACGGCAGCACAGUAAGAGCUUGCUCUUACGGGUGGCGAGUGGCGGACGGGUGAGGAAUACAUCGGAAUCUACUUUUUCGUGGGGGAUAACGUAGGGAAACUUACGCUAAUACCGCAUACGACCUACGGGUGAAAGCAGGGGAUCUUCGGACCUUGCGCGAUUGAAUGAGCCGAUGUCGGAUUAGCUAGUUGGCGGGGUAAAGGCGCACCAAGGCGACGAUCCGUAGCUGGUCUGAGAGGAUGAUCAGCCACACUGGAACUGAGACACGGUCCAGACUCCUACGGGAGGCAGCAGUGGGGAAUAUUGGACAAUGGGCGCAAGCCUGAUCCAGCCAUACCGCGUGGGUGAAGAAGGCCUUCGGGUUGUAAAGCCCUUUUGUUGGGAAAGAAAAGCAGCAGGUUAAUACCCCGCUGUUCUGACGGUACCCAAAGAAUAAGCACCGGCUAACUUCGUG